UUCGAGGUGGCGGACGGGUGAGUAACGCGUGGUAACCUGCCUUACACAGGGGGAUAACACCUGGAAACAGGUGCUAAUACCGCAUAAGCGCACAGGGCCGCAUGGCCCGGUGUGAAAAACUCCGGUGGUGUAAGAUGGACCCGCGUCUGAUUAGCUUGUUGGCGGGGUAGGGGCCCACCAAGGCGACGAUCAGUAGCCGGCCUGAGAGGGUGGACGGCCACAUUGGGACUGAGACACGGCCCAAACUCCUACGGAAGGCAGCAG
rnacentral:rRNA from 1 species